rnacentral:rRNA from 1 species
UAUAGGCGAAAUUGGGUCCGACGUCGCAUGCUCCCGGCCGGCCAUGGCGGCCCGCGGGAAUUCGAUUAGAGUUGAUCAUGGCUCAGGACGAACGCUGGCGGCGUGCUUAACACAUGCAAGUCGAACGAUGAAAGCAGGAGCCUGCUCUUGCUGGAUUAGUGGCGAACGGGUGAGUAACACGUGAGUAACCUGCCCUUGACUCUGGGAUAAGCGUUGGAAACGACGUCUAAUACCGGAUACGAGCUAGGACCGCAUGGUCACUAGUUGGAAAGAAUUUUGGUCAAGGAUGGACUCGCGGCCUAUCAGCUAGUUGGUGAGGUAACGGCCCACCAAGGCGACGACGGGUAGCCGGCCUGAGAGGGUGACCGGCCACACUGGGACUGAGACACGGCCCAGACUCCUACGGGAGGCAGCAGUGGGGAAUAUUGCACAAUGGGCGAAAGCCUGAUGCAGCAACGCCGCGUGAGGGACGACGGCCUUCGGGUUGUAAACCUCUUUUAGCAGGGAAGAAGCGAAAGUGACGGUACCUGCAGAAAAAGCACCGGCUAACUACGUGCCAGCAGCCGCGGUAAUACGUAGGGUGCAAGCGUUGUCCGGAAUUAUUGGGCGUAAAGAGCUCGUAGGCGGUUUGUCGCGUCUGCUGUGAAAAUCCGAGGCUCAACCUCGGACCUGCAGUGGGUACGGGCAAACUAGAGUGCGGUAGGGGAGAUUGGAAUUCCUGGUGUAGCGGUGGAAUGCGCAGAUAUCAGGAGGAACACCAAUGGCGAAGGCAGAUCUCUGGGCCGUAACUGACGCUGAGGAGCGAAAGCGUGGGGAGCGAACAGGAUUAGAUACCCUGGUAGUCCACGCCGUAAACGGUGGGACUAAUGUGGGGUCCGUUCCACGGAUUCCGUGUCGCAGCUAACGCAUU